CCUACGGGAGGCAGCAGUGAGGAAUAUUGGUCAAUGGGCGGAAGCCUGAACCAGCCAAGUCGCGUGAGGGAAUAAGGCCCUACGGGUCGUAAACCUCUUUUGCCGGGGAGCAAGGGCGGGGACGUGUCCCGUCCCGGAGAGUACCCGUAGAAAAAGCAUCGGCUAACUCCUUGCCAGCAGCCGCGGAAUACGGAGGAUGCGAGCGUUAUCCGGAUUUAUUGGGUUUAAAGGGUGCGUAGGCGGGCUUUUAAGUCAGCGGUAAAAAUUCGGGGCUCAACCCCGUCCGGCCGUUGAAACUGGGGGCCUUGAGUGGGCGAGAAGAAGGCGGAAUGCGUGGUGUAGCGGUGAAAUGCAUAGAUAUCACGCAGAACCCCGAUUGCGAAGGCAGCCUUCCGGGGCACGACUGACGCUGAGGCACGAGAGUGCGGGGAUCGAACAGGAUUAGAUACCCCAGUAGUC
rnacentral:rRNA from 1 species